rnacentral:sRNA from 1 species
GGGAAGGGUGAGAACCUUCGAUUAAGGUUCGACUCGAGCGAAGUGAGAGAACGUUGCCAACGGCAACGGCCCGUAGGGUGAGGAGCGAAGCGACGAAUAAUCCUUCCCC